GCUGGCGCGUGCCUUAACACAUGCAAGUCAACUUGACUGAAGGAGCAAUCUGACAGUAGAGUGGCGCAAGGGUGCGUAACGCGUAAGUAACUUGCCCCAAGGUAAGGAAUAACGUCGAGAAAUCGGCGCUAAUACCUCAUAAUGCAGCGGAUCCGCAUGGAUAUGUUGUUAAAGGUUUACCGCCUUGGGAUAGGCUUGCGUCUGAUUAGCUAGUUGGUGUGGUAACGGCACACCAAGGCUACGAUCAGUAACUGGUCUGAGAGGAUGAUCAGUCACACUGGAACUGAGACACGGUCCAGACUCCUACGGGAGGCAGCAGUGAGGAAUAUUGGGCAAUGCUCGAAAGAGUGACCCAGCAACGCCGCGUGGAGGAUGAAGGUAUUCUAUAUCGUAAACUCCUGUGAGAGCAGACGAAAGACAGAUUAUUAAUCUGGAUGACUGUAUGCUCAGAGGAAGCCCCGGCUAACUACGUG
rnacentral:rRNA from 1 species